AUUUGGAGAGGAUGCUUUUGGCGCGGCGCCGUCCGAGUUCCUUGGAACAGGACGCCAUAGAGGGUGAGAGCCCCGUACGGGCGGCCGCCUAGCCUUUGUAAAGCUCCUUCGACGAGUCGAGUAGUUUGGGAAUGCUGCUCAAAAUGGGAGGUAAAUUUCUUCUAAAGCUAAAUACCGGCCAGAGACCGAUAGCGCACAAGUAGAGUGAUCGAAAGAUGAAAAGCACUUUGAAAAGAGGGUUAAAAAGUACGUGAAAUUGUUGAAAGGGAAGCGCCUGUGACCAGACUUGCGGCCCGUGGAUCAUCCGGUGUUCUUCACCGGUGCACUCCGCGGGCUGCAGGCCAGCAUCGGUUUUCCUGGGGGGAUAAAGGUCGCGGGAACGUAGCUCCCUCGGGAGUGUUAUAGCCCGUGGCGUCAUGCCUCUGGGGGGACCGAGGACCGCGCUUCGGCAAGGAUGCUGGCGUAAUGGUCACCGGCGACCCGUCUUGAAACACGGACCAAGGAGUCAAGCAUUGGGGCGAGUGUCUGGGUGCCAAACCCGCACGCGAAAUGAAAGUAAACGCAGGUGAGAGCUUCGGCGCAUCACCGACCGAUCCUGAUGUUCUCGGAUGGAUUUGAGUAAGAGCCUUACCGCUUGGACCCGAAAGAUGGUGAACUAUGCCUGUAUAGGGUGAAGCCAGAGGAAACUCUGGUGGAGG
rnacentral:rRNA from 1 species